rnacentral:rRNA from 1 species
AACGAACGCUGGCGGCAGGCUUAACACAUGCAAGUCGAACGCAUCCUUCGGGGUGAGUGGCAGACGGGUGAGUAACGCGUGGGAACGUGCCCUUCAGUUCGGGAUAACCCAGGGAAACUUGGGCUAAUACCGGAUACGUGCGAGAGCAGAAAGAUUUAUCGCUGAAGGAUCGGCCCGCGUCUGAUUAGCUAGUUGGUGGGGUAAUGGCCCACCAAGGCGACGAUCAGUAGCUGGUCUGAGAGGAGGAUCAGCCACAUUGGGACUGAGACACGGUCCAAACUCCUACGGGAGGGAGCGAUGAGGAAUAUUGGACAAUGGGCGCAAGCCUGAUCCAGCCAUGACGCGUGAGUGAUGAAGGCCUUAGGGUUGUAAAGCUCUUUUGUCCGGGACGAUAAUGACGGUACCGGAAGAAGAAGCCCCGGCUAACUUCGUGCCAGCAGCCGCAGUAA